CAUCUUUCCAGAUCAGCUACCUUGUGUAUAAGCAUAAAAUUACGCAGGAAGGGAACUGCAAGACCUGCUCCUCAUCAUCUACAGCAGGGAACACGGGUCGAGCCCUGGUCCAGGAAGAGCCCACAUGCCGUGGAGCAACUAAGCCCGUGCACCACAACUACUAAGCCUGUGUUCUAGAGCCUGCGAGGCACAACUACUGAGCCCGUGUGCCGCAACUACUGAAGCCUGCACGCCUAGAGCCCGUGUUCCACAGUAAGAGAAGCCACCGCGAUGAGAAGCCUGCGCACCGCAAUGAAGAGUAGCCCCCGCUUGCCGCAACUAGAGAAAGCCUGCGCACAGCAAUGAAGACCCAGCGCAGCCAAAAAAAAAAAAAAAAAAAAAAAAAAGAUCUAGAAGUUAAUCUUUCGCGUAAGCCUCUAUUUUCCCUAUGGUACACCCACCCUCAGCUGUGCCUGCUGUCCUGCAGGGUGAAUAAAGGACAUUGGCUUGGCUUGGGGAAUAGGAAAAUGGUAUUGGGAGGUUCUCAUGUCUUUUUUUUUUAAACUAGCCUUGCUGUUUUCAUCCCUACCCUCAUCCUUACUUCAAGAGGGAACUGUUUCCACAAAUUCCUGAGUCUUUAGGGAAUUCUACAGAGCAAAUUAUGUUGCUUCUUGGCUUUCUCCAUUUCUGACUUAGGAGACAGUGUUCCCAGGUCUGCCAGUUUGUAGAUCUAUUAAAAAUUACUUUUCUUUAUAACCAAGGCAAGUUUUAAAAUGGAAAAUAAAUAUCUACCUUUGGAAAACAAUAUGUGCAGAUAACAUUGCUGAGAAUAACCAAAUAAUUGUUUUGAAAUAACAUUAACACCAAGCUAGUCUAGGAACACAUACCCAGUUGGAGCAUUCAGCAACUAUAACUAUUAUGUUCUACAAAGAGAAUAAACUGUUUGUUGGAAAAAAAAAAAAAAAUGCAUUGGCCCACUCUGUAUCUAUGGAGGGAAGCUGGGUUGACUGAGCUUUUAGCCAGAGGCUCUGGGGCGCCAGAAAGGCAAAGAUGUCGUCUUCCUUAGCAAGAAGAUCUGAGCUGAGGGGAAGGGGGAGCAGCAACCCACUCAUGCCUCACUCACCCUGACUCUAUCAGCGGUAAGCAAUACAAAACUUAAAGUUAAGGGCUUCCCUCGUGGCGCAGUGUUUGGGGGUCCGCCUGUCAAUGCAGGGGACACAGGUUCGAGCCCUGGUCUGGGAAGAUCCCACAUGCCGUGGAGCAACUAAGCCUGAGCGCCACAACUACUGAGUCUGUGCUCUUGAGCCCGCGAGCCACGACUACUGAGUCCGCGAGCCACAACUACUGAAGCCCGAGCGCCUAGAGCCCAUGCUCCGCAACAAGAGAAGCCCCCGCUCUCUGCAACUAGAGAAAGCCCGUGCGCAGCAACAAAGACCCAA